GAAUUCGCCCUUAGAGUUUGAUCCUGGCUCAGGACGAACGCUGGCGGCGCGCCUAACACAUGCAAGUCGAACGAGCGAGAGAGAGCUUGCUUUCUCGAGCGAGUGGCGAACGGGUGAGUAACGCGUGAGGAACCUGCCUCAAAGAGGGGGACAACAGUUGGAAACGACUGCUAAUACCGCAUAAGCCCACGGGUCGGCAUCGACCAGAGGGAAAAGGAGCAAUCCGCUUUGAGAUGGCCUCGCGUCCGAUUAGCUAGUUGGUGAGGUAACGGCCCACCAAGGCGACGAUCGGUAGCCGGACUGAGAGGUUGAACGGCCACAUUGGGACUGAGACACGGCCCAGACUCCUACGGGAGGCAGCAGUGGGGAAUAUUGCACAAUGGGGGAAACCCUGAUGCAGCGACGCCGCGUGGAGGAAGAAGGUCUUCGGAUUGUAAACUCCUGUUGUUGGGGAAGAUAAUGACGGUACCCAACAAGGAAGUGACGGCUAACUACGUGCCAGCAGCCGCGGUAAAACGUAGGUCACAAGCGUUGUCCGGAAUUACUGGGUGUAAAGGGAGCGCAGGCGGGAAGACAAGUUGGAAGUGAAAUCUAUGGGCUCAACCCAUAAACUGCUUUCAAAACUGUUUUUCUUGAGUAGUGCAGAGGUAGGCGGAAUUCCCGGUGUAGCGGUGGAAUGCGUAGAUAUCGGGAGGAACACCAGUGGCGAAGGCGGCCUACUGGGCACCAACUGACGCUGAGGCUCGAAAGUGUGGGUAGCAAACAGGAUUAGAUACCCUGGUAGUCCACACCGUAAACGAUGAUUACUAGGUGUUGGAGGUUUGACCCCUUCAGUGCCGCAGUUAACACAAUAAGUAAUCCACCUGGGGAGUACGACCGCAAGGUUGAAACUCAAAGGAAUUGACGGGGGCCCGCACAAGCAGUGGAGUAUGUGGUUUAAUUCGACGCAACGCGAAGAACCUUACCAAGUCUUGACAUCCCUUGACGAUGCUGGAAACAGUAUUUCUCUUCGGAGCAAGGAGACAGGUGGUGCAUGGUUGUCGUCAGCUCGUGUCGUGAGAUGUUGGGUUAAGUCCCGCAACGAGCGCAACCCUUAUGGUCAGUUACUACGCAAGAGGACUCUGGCCAGACUGCCGUUGACAAAACGGAGGAAGGUGGGGAUGACGUUAAAUCAUCAUGCCCUUUAUGACUUGGGCUACACACGUACUACAAUGGCGUUAAACAAAGAGAAGCAAGACCGCGAGGUGGAGCAAAACUCAGAAACAACGUCCCAGUUCGGACUGCAGGCUGCAACUCGCCUGCACGAAGUCGGAAUUGCUAGUAAUCGUGGAUCAGCAUGCCACGGUGAAUACGUUCCCGGGCCUUGCACUCACCGCCCGUCA
rnacentral:rRNA from 1 species